GUGAAAGCCAGAACCAGCCGACAAUUUGGGGGAAUACAGUAAAAAAACAAAACUGAACAAUGAAAACAUCUUGAAAAAUAAAGAUAUAAAAUAUGGACUAAAACAAGACCCAAAUGUGAUACUAUUGGAAAAUCAUCAGACCAUCCUCAAUCAUCACCGUCAUCAGUUGAGUCUGAUGAUGAUGGUGCAUGAUGGCACAGAUGAAGUAUAUACCAGGGGCCGGUUGUAUCAAAGGCGUUUAGCUCGCUAACCACCGUUUAACUCGCUAUCCGCCGGAUAAAAUUUAAACGCUCGAGAAAUCGCGUUGUAUCAAGCCCGUUUAGGGCUAUCCACCGGUUAAAUUUUGCCUAUCCACCGUGUAAACUUAUACGGUCUCUUGAGACCGUUUAAAUUGCUAUACGGAGGAUAAACUCGGAGUUUGAAGAUAAAACAAUGAUUAUUUCGGAUGAAAAAGCAUGGGAUAGUUAUAAAAAUGCACAAUCAUGUGGAGGAG